CGGGUUGCAGCAGUGGGGAAUAUUGGACAAUGGGCGAAAGCCUGAUCCAGCCAUGCCGCGUGUGUGAAGAAGGCCUUCGGGUCGUAAAGCACUUUAAGUUGGGAGGAAGGGCUUACAGCGAAUACCUGUGAGUUUUGACGUUACCGACAGAAUAAGCACCGGCUAACUUCGUGCCAGCAGCCGCGGUAAUACGAAGGGUGCAAGCGUUAAUCGGAAUUACUGGGCGUAAAGCGCGCGUAGGUGGCUUGAUAAGUUGGAUGUGAAAUCCCCGGGCUCAACCUGGGAACUGCAUCCAAAACUGUCUGGCUAGAGUGCGGUAGAGGGUAGUGGAAUUUCCAGUGUAGCGGUGAAAUGCGUAGAUAUUGGAAGGAACACCAGUGGCGAAGGCGACUACCUGGACUGACACUGACACUGAGGUGCGAAAGCGUGGGGAGCAAACAGGAUUAGAUACCCUCGU
rnacentral:rRNA from 1 species